UACGAAGGGGGCUAGCGUUGUUCGGAAUUACUGGGCGUAAAGGGCUCGUAGGUGGCCAACUAAGUCAGACGUGAAAUCCCUCGGCUUAACCGGGGAACUGCGUCUGAUACUGGAUGGCUUGAGUUCGGGAGAGGGAUGCGGAAUUCCAGGUGUAGCGGUGAAAUGCGUAGAUAUCUGGAGGAACACCGGUGGCGAAGGCGGCAUCCUGGACCGGCACUGACACUGAGGAGCGAAAGCCAGGGGAGCAAACGGG
rnacentral:rRNA from 1 species